rnacentral:sRNA from 1 species
AAAUAAAUGAGUUUUUUUUACAGGACGAGUUGGCGGGACGGGUUUGGCAAGACGUUACUUAAUAACAAUUGUAAACUAUAAAAUAAAAUAUUUUAUAGAUAGAUACAAUUUGCAAACUUUUAUAUAUAUUUAUUUAAAAAAUAAAUUGUUCCCGCGGUGUACCGCGGGUUAAAAUCUAGUUUGUUUAUAAUUUGGUAACAAAUAGAUAUUUGAAUAUUCGGUAUAUUUUGCUUCAGUUUAGAAAAUCUUUGAUGACCCGUCUUUAGAUCCAAUAAACCCUAUAAUUAAGAGAUAAAUAUUGUCGUUAAAUAAUUUUGGUAACUUUAAUGACGUUAUUAAAU